GGGGUUGUUUGGUUUCGACGUAUAUAAAAAAUAAUUAAAAGCAUAUUGAGUAAUUAAUCUCAAAAAAAAAAUAAAUAAAAUAAAAUCAGAAAAUAAAAAAAAAAUUUACGAAUAUUUAAAUUAUUAAAUCAAAUUUAUUAAAUUCUCUUUAAUAAAUUUUAAAUAUGAGAAUAAUUUUAAAUAAAUUUUACUUAAUUUAAAAUAAAAAUAAAGUAAAUAGUUUAAAUUUAAUUUUUUUAUUAUUAAAUUUAAAUAAAUAUUAAAAAAUAAAAAUAAAUAUGUAGAAUUAAUUAUAUUAUAUAUACGGAAGUGGGUUCGAUUCCCACCAACUCCAAAU
rnacentral:tmRNA from 1 species